rnacentral:rRNA from 1 species
GACAGAGGGUGCAAACGUUGUUCGGAAUUACUGGGCGUAAAGGGCGCGUAGGCGGCCUUCUAAGUCGAACGUGAAAUCCCUGGGCUCAACCCAGGAACUGCGUCCGAUACUGGAAGGCUUGAAUCCGGGAGAGGGAUGCGGAAUUCCAGGUGUAGCGGUGAAAUGCGUAGAUAUUCGGAAGAACACCAGUGGCGAAGGCGGCUCACUGGACUGGUAUUGACGCUGAGGUGCGAAAGCGUGGGGAGCAAACAGG